rnacentral:rRNA from 1 species
GACGAACCGAGCGAACGUUGUUCGGAAUCACUAGGCUUAAAGGGCGCGUAGGCGGGUGCUCAAGUCCGGGGUGAAAUCCCACAGCUCAACUGUGGAACUGCCUCGGAUACUGGGUGUCUCGAGGGUGGUAGGGGUAUGCGGAACUAUCGGUGGAGCGGUGAAAUGCGUUGAUAUCGAUAGGAACACCGGUGGCGAAGGCGGCAUCCUGGACCGAUACUGACGCUGAGGAGCGAAAGCCAGGGGAGCAAACGGG